rnacentral:lncRNA from 1 species
AGGAGGGAACACUCACUGGGUCACUACGCUAUUUGGGUAUACAGUGGCUACUGCUUUUCUACCAUUCCUUGGAAGAACCACGUUGAUGAUAGCCAGCAGACCUUGGGAGACUUCAGACAACAAAAAUGUUGGAAGAGUAAGGAAAACAGGAAGACACAGCCAUUGCUAAAAUUUUAAAAACUUCUUGUCAAGUGACUAUAGUACAGACUGAGAAGAUGGAAAGGGGCAAUUCUGGUUUUCUUUAAAGGAUGAAGGCCAUGCCCCUGUCACUGAGAAUCUCUGAGCAGGAGACUGGUUUCCCAUCAAAGAUUCUCUCUUCCCAG